CACGUAGGGCGCAAGCGUUGUCCGGAAUUAUCGGGCGUAAAGAGCUCGUAGGCGGUCUGUUACGUCUGCUGUGAAAACCCGGGGCGUUAACCCUGGGCUUGCAGUGGAUACGGGCAGACUAGAGGCAGGUAGGGGAGAAUGGAAUUCCCGGUGUAGCGGUGAAAUGCGCAGAUAUCAGGAAGAACACCCGUGGCUAAGGCGGCUCUCUAGUACGGUACUGACGCUGAGGCGCGAAAGCGUGGGGAGCAA
rnacentral:rRNA from 1 species